ACUGACUGCAUUUGUAUUCAUUUUCAUUAAUUUCGUCUUUUAUUAUUUUUUUGUUUGUGCAGUGGUUUGAAUCUGGAAUGCUCCCCUACAGGCUCAUUCUGAGCACUGUGUCCCCACCCUGCAGUUUAGGGUGUGUGUGUUGGGGGGGGCUGUGGGACUUUAGGAGAUGGGACGGGACGGGGGGGGGGGGGCGGGGUUUGAAGGCUGGGCCUUGAGGGUGUGGUACUCCUGACUCCUUCCAGCCAGCUUCAGGGUGGGGCUGUCACUGGCUCUCUGCAGCACCGUUCUUGCCUUCUCUUGACAACCAUACUCCUGGAGACUGAGUUAGGAUGAAGAAUUGCUCCCUCCCACGGCUGCUGUUGAAUGUAGGCUCCAUAGAAUCUGGAGUGGACCCUGUAAUCAUGUAGGGCAAGGCAACCUUAGUAAGUUGGAGCCAAGGAGCACCACGAAGUCACACCACGCAACAGAGCACACGUGGUAUGCGGCACAAGCUCACAGGCCACUUAGCGGCUGUAGUAGCUACAGCGUCACAUCUUGGCUGGGGCUGAUGGCAUGUCCCGCUAGGUCCCUGAGAGCAGACCCGUGUAAAUGCCUGAAUGCCAUCAGGGUCUCUGGGCAGUACUGUGGAAUAUCACGGUUGUCAUGGGAAGCCCAGCCCACUAAGGGUGAGCCCAUUCCCAGAGCAAGGGAUCCUGGACUGUGUAAGGCGGAGAGAGUUGAGUGGGACGUACCCCUUUAUUUCUCUCCUCUGACAGGGGAUGUGGUAUAGCCGACUGCUUCAAGCUCUUACUGUCUUAACUUCGCUGCUCUGAGGGAUAACUGAAACUGAGCUGACAGGAGUGCUUCCUCCUGGGUUGCUUUUGUCGGGGGUAUUUUAUCACAGCAACAGAAUAAGAAGACACUGCUUUGUGUGGCUGUGGCCAGGUACCCAGGCAGAGCUACACAAAAGGCACUAAUACAGAUAGGAUUUUUGAGACAGUCUCACUGAGUAACAACUCUGGUUGGCCUCAAACCCGGCCCCCUCUGUCUGCCUCCAGGGUUACCUCCAGGCUGGGCUUGGCUGCAUUUCAAACAGACAGAAAGAAGGCUUCCUGUUUUCAGCUUACUGUCUCAGCUUCCUUCUCUGUCACCGUGAUAAAAUCAGGACUAAAAGAAACUUGGGGAGGAAAGGGUUUAUUUCAACUUACACUUCCAGGUCAUAUCCAUCAUUGAGGGAAGCCAGGGCAGGAACUCAAGACGGGAACUUGGAAGAAUGAUGUGCUCUCUCUCUCUCUCUCUCUCUCUCUCUCUCUCUCUCUCUCUCUCUCUCUCUCUCCUCUACCUCCCUCUGUGUGUGUGUGUGUGUCUCUGUGUCUCUGUGUCUCUGUCUCUCUGCCUAUUCAGCCCUGCUAUCACAAGCCAGGACAACCUGCCCAGAGGUGGUGGUGGUGGUGGUGGUGGUGGUGAACCCACAGAGAGCUAGGUCCUCCCCCAUCAAUCAGCAGCUAACACAGUUCCCCACACACAUAGCCACAGGCCAAUCUGAUCUGGGAGGUCCUUCAGUUGAGACUCUUGUCACUCUUGGUUGUGUUGACAAUAAAAACAAUAAAAGACACUCACAUUCCCUAUGCAGGAAUCCCCAUAGAAUCCUCCCUUUCUGGAGAGAGUUCAGACUUCCUGGCUCUUUGGGUCAUAUAUUGCUUUUUUUUUUCGGGGGGGGGGGAGGUGACUUUCCCAGACACUAGAUAGGGUUGCUAGUGUCUAUCUCGUAAUGGUGUCAAAGCUACACCACAGUCGGGCAGUUCAGCCCUUAGGGCUGGCAAUGAGCAAACUGGUAACUGUCCUCUUCUGCCCAGGGCUGCCAGUGUCCUCCCAGGACGCACAGUCUGCUCAGUUCCAUUUUCCAGUGAGGGUCCUGUAAGGAGCACAGGGUAGAGAAAAGUCCUCACACGAUGGGAGGCCAUGAAGGCAGAUGACAGUCUCCUUCUCAAGCCAGGGGCUUCCCUAGACUCUGGGAGAGGAAGAGCCUUUUGGAGGGGAACCAAACAUGCUGGGAUGGAGCCAAGAGGAGACCAGGGGUUCUAACAGGGACUGGAAAUCCAAACCAGAGGUUUCUGAAGCACAUGAAAUUGCCCGAAAGCUUCUAAAACAGAUCAGCACAGGCCGUAUUCCAUCCCAUUUAAGCCAGGAUCAUAGAGGUGUGGGCUUUGGUUUCAAACCUGGGACAAAUGGCUGAGGCACCUACCUAUUUGACGCAUCAAAUGAAUGAAAAAAGAAAAGAAAGGAAAUGACUGCUCGCAGGUAUGAUGGAGGAGAAGGUUUACUGUAGAUACAUGGGAGAGCAUAGCCAGCCCCAGACACAGGGACAUCCGAGAGAGUCAAGAAUGGUCAUGACCCUGAGCCAUGUUGGGGCGAGGGGAACCAGGUGCCGCAGCCAGGAGCCAAAGGUACAAAGAGAGUGGGCAACCAAAAUGGCUGGAUUAUAUAAGGAAGAGCAGUGCAGCCCUGGGCUGGAGGGUUCAGGGUAGGGGGUUUGGGUCCUCCAGCCAGGAGGGCCCUGCAACACAGGGAUGCUGGGGGAACCUGGCAGCCAGGUGCGCUUUGAUGCGUUACAGAGGCACUUCAGCCUUUUGUCCCAGGGUUGAAACCCAACAGGUCAGUAUUUUUAACUCUAUGCAGGUGGAUUCUUCUGGCCAGGGCCAGAACCGUGAGGGAAGCCUAUCGACCCCGUCUGACCUGGUUCGGGAAGAUGGUGCGAUCUGCCCUCUUCUGUUACGCUGGGGAAUUCGCCUGUUGCUGUGGCUUGCAUUUGCUUCAUCAAAUGCACCAAAACGGAUGCAGAGGCUUUAACACGACCCAGCAGAAGGAAGACGGGUGGGUCACAGAGGCUCAGUGGAGAAGGAGAGCGCCCUCUCGUGGUGCUGCCUUCGUUACCUCCAAGGCACCGUUCGGCUCUGCCUGGAGCAAAGCCCUCAACAGAAGCCAGGUGCGACCAAACUUGGACUUCUCUCAGGCACCGAGGCUGUGAGCCAUGGAAACCUCUUUUCUGAAAAUGUCUCAGGAAUUGGGUUACAGCAACAGAAAGUUGCUUAAGACGCCUGCUUGUUUGUGUGUCUCUAAAGGAACUAACCAAACUUUUCUCUGCACCCCAGGACCUAGUAGGGUCUUAACAACAAGAGCGCCAUACAGAAAUGAAGGGAUAAAACUGUAAUUAGCAAGUCUGUAAAAAUGCAAAACUGAGAAGCCCGGUUACCUCAGGAGACGCACAUACUUUACAGGCGGAGAAAUCAAGGAGAAACAGAAAUUCCCCCUGGCUAGAGUCUGAGAACCCGUGAAGUCUGUCUUCAUUUUGAUCUCUUUCGUGUUCCUCACGUCUGUGCGAAUGUGAGGAGAGGUGAGAUAGACCACAGGGUCAUCACACCCCACCUUUCCCCUACAAACCCUGCUCAUCCCAAGGGUCCAUGAGUGGGGUCUGAACGUGGACUGAGUGUUGGUGACUCGCAUUCAUUGAAUAUCUACAGCAUUAGGAACAGUCCUGGUACCCAUUCUGUGGCUACAUCAGUGAACAAAGGAAAGAAGAAAGAAAAACUCAUACUGCCAUGAAAUAACACCCUUGUAGAGCAUGGCAGAUGUCUCCAAAAAUGUUGACGAAUGGUUCCAACAACAGCACCCUUGCGUGGUGUCCCUCCCAUUAAAAGGUGUAAUGCCCUGCCCCAAUCUAAACUGCCUUUGACCAAUAGAAUGCCUUAGAAAUGGGCUUGGGCUAAUUCUGACCCCACUCCUUAUGAGAAUUGGCACCUUUCUUUCUUUUUUUUUUUUAAAGAUUUUAUUUAUUCAUUAUGUAUAUAACAUUCUGCUUCCAUGUGUAUCUGCACACCAGAAGAAGGCACCAUAUCUCAUAAUGGAUGGUUGUGAGCCACCAUGUGGUUGCUGGGAAUUGAACUCAGGACCUCUGGAAGAGCAGUCAGUGCUCUUAACCUUUGAGCCAUCUCUCCAGCCCCCACCUUUCUUUUUUUUAAUGUAUUUUAUUUAUUUCUGUGUAUGUGUGCUUGCCUGAAUUUAUGUGCACCGUGUGUGCAGUAGCCCGAGGAGGCCAGAAGAGGGCUUUGGAUCUCCCGGACCUGGAGUUACAGGCAGUUGUGAGUCACCAUGUGGGUGCUACCAGCCAAACUCAGGUCCUCUAUAAUAGCAGUUAGAACUCCCAACAACCGUCUCUCCAGUCCCCAGAGAACUGACACCUUUUAAUUUGGUCUCAUAGAGCUCAGAUCUGCAAUAAGAGAAGUCCAGACUUUACCAAGUCAGCUAUUCUAGCCACUACAGCUAAGGUUCUAGACACGUAAGCCUGGCCAUCUUGAUAUCCCAGCCCUAUCAAAGCCCAAGUUGUGUGGUGCCAACCAACACCAUGCUGAAAAGAAAAACUACCCAGCCAAGCCCAGCCACCCACAGUCAUUAGACAUAAUAAAUCACUGUUGUUUUAAGCUCCAAAUUUCGUGUGGUGCUUAAGCCGGCAGAUAAUUAAGAUAUAAGGGAGUUGGAUCAUAAACCAUAAUCAUAAAAGUCACCUGAUUUAUCCUUGGUUAUCAAUAUCUCUGUUGUUUAGCUUUUUCAACACUAUGGCAAAAUACAUGUAAAAACAAGAGAAAGGAUUUCUUUUUUGAAACAGGGUCUCAAAACUUGCUAUGAAGCCAAGGAUGACCCUGAGCUCUCAGUCUUCCUGCCUCUGCCUCCAAAGUGCUGUGAUUACAGCCACGAGUCACCACAUCCAGCAAGGAAGGAUUCAUUUUGGCUCAUGGUUUCUGAGGUUUUACUCUGUGGUCAUCUGAAUCCAUCACUGUGGACCCAAAGAAUCAUGUGAUGGGACAAAGCCACUCAGGUCAUGGACAGAAGCAGAAACAGACAGGAUAGGAUUAAGACAGGAUACCCAAGGACUUGCCCUAGGCUAUUGGGUGGUUCUACCCAUGUUCAGGGCAGGUCUGUGCAAACAUCCACACAGACACACUCAACUGCGUGGUUUACUAAUCGCCAAGAUCUCACUCGGUCAAGCCAGGGUGAUGAUCAAUAUUAACCAUCACGUGACUCUCAAUUCUUCCAUUUAGGUCUGUGAAUAUUAUUCUUCCCAGCAAAUAUCCCCAUACCCAGACUCCCUCACUGCGCCUUGCUCUUUGGGGCAUAACCACAUGAUCAGAACUGUCCCCAUGAGUGCAGGCUUCACACCUGCCCCGAUCUCUCAGAACAUCUGGAGCACAGUGCUCUGUGCAUUGGUCUGACUCUGGCAGAGCCCUCCUCUCUUCCAGUCCACACUACCACUGCUCACACCGUAGCAGCGCCUCCCGUAGGGGAAGGGUUACAUGACGAUAAUUCCGGUACCGUUCCAACCGUCUACUGUCUGCACUACCUCCCUUCCUUCCCUGACCUUGCCUCUGCGUUCUGCAUCUGGAGGGUGCCGUCUGAAUAGCAACAUCCCCAGAGCAGGAAAGGCCCCUCCCAGUUUGUCACAUGGUCUCCCGCUCACACCCAUUCACUCUCUCUGUGGGAACCUUCGCUUUGCUUGAGGAGUCACCCCAAUGCGCCUUCCAGUGUCUUGCUCGACACCCCACCCCACACUCAAACCCAUCCUACUGGUGGAUUUUUCCACAGCCACAUUGCUGGGUUCAGGGAUGGGGGUGCAUAACCAGAGCCCAUCCAGUCAGAGUAGAUCCUGGGACAUCUGGGCUUCCAAUAGGAAGGCAGUUCCUCCCUCCGCUGGGAACUUCCUUGUGUAUGGCUAAUGUUGACAUGGAGUCCCUUUCUCCAGCAGGAAAAUAACCAGAAACACACAGAAGCAGAACCCAAGCAGAGGAGAGCAGCUCUGGGGAGUGGAGUGGACACAAGAAACGGUGACAUCAUCAGAACCUGCAGUUCCAGCAGCCGUCUGGUCUCUUCAGCAGAGAAAGAGCAUGAGUGAUGCCUACUGAGGUAGAAGAAGGAGAAACCAGGCCUGGAGGUGUACACCUGUUAUCCUGCACUUGGGAGCCUGAGGCAGGAGCAUCCAAGUUCCAGGCCAUCCGGAGCCAAAGAAAGAAAACCUAUGUGUCAGGAG
ensembl:lncRNA